rnacentral:rRNA from 1 species
AGUAACGGCGAGUGAACAGGGAUUAGCCCAGCACCGAAGUCUGCGUCCGUUUGGGCGUUGGACAAUGUGGUGUUUAGGUUGGCGUUUUCGAGUGUUGCUCCUUUCGAAGUCCAUUCUUGAAUAUGGCUAAUAGUUUGGCCCAGAGAGGGUGAAAGGCCCGUGUGGAUGGAGCGAUGCUUGACUGCGUUAACUGUGGAGUCGGGUUGUUUGAGAAUGCAGCCCAAAGUUGGUGGUAAACUCCAUCUAAGGCUAAAUACUGGCACGAGUCCGAUAGCGAACAAGUACCGUGAGGGAAAGUUGAAAAGUACUCUGAAGAGAGAGUUAACAGUGCGUGAAACCGCUUAGAAGCAAACGGGUGUAGUCAAGCUGCAAGCCUUUGGAAAUCAGUUGGCCAGAAUGACGUGAGUCUGGGCAUAUAGGGCUGGCAUACAGGUCCGACCACAAGUCGGGUUCGGCUCGAAAGAGUCGUAUUUGCGAAGCGUCUCGGCGCGCUGCUUGCCUGUUUGUUAGUUAGCUCUGCUGGCCAUCUUACUUUCCUUAGGCGUAUGUCACGACCGUCUUUGCUGUCGGUCUGCUCCGUUCGAACCGUGGCGUAAGUUAGUCUCGUGCUGCUUGCGUUACGGGGGCAGGUGAUUGGUUCAGUUCGCUGGACCAGUGUAAUCGCUGGGCGGAGUGGUAUCUGUAACUGUGCAGUAAGAUGGGGCUGGCGGUGCAUGGCUGAGCGUGCUAAAGCGUGUCGGCGUGGCUGGUGUAUGGCUGCUUGUUGCUGUGAAUACGGCCUUGCGGUUGCCCGGUUACGGUUUGAUGCGCGGCUGCGUUCGGCUUUUCUUGCAUUGUGCCAAUAGUCUGUGGCGUAGUGGUAGACGAUCCACCCGA